AGGGGGAGGCAGGCCAGGCAGUGAGAUACAGGAAACCCAGGCAUGCCAACAUCAGACCCCUGCAGGGGGAGGCAGGCCAGGCAGUGAGAUACAGGAAACCCAGGCAUGCCAACAUCAGACCCCUGCAGGGGGAGGCAGGCCAGGCAGUGAGAUACAGGAAACCCAGGCAUGCCAACAUCAGACCCCUGCAGGGGGAGGCAGGCCAGGCAGUGAGAUACAGGAAACCCAGGCAUGCCAACAUCAGACCCCUGCAGGGGGAGGCAGGCCAGGCAGUGAGAUACAGGAAACCCAGGCAUGCCAACAUCAGACCCCUGCAGGGGGAGGCAGGCCAGGCAGUGAGAUACAGGAAACCCAAGCAUGCCAACAUCAGAACCCUGCAGGGGGAGGCAGGCCAGGC